rnacentral:rRNA from 1 species
AGAACGAACGCUGGCGGCAGGCUUAACACAUGCAAGUCGAACGCUCGUAGCAAUACGGGAGUGGCAGACGGGUGAGUAACGCGUGGGAACAUACCCUCCGGUUCGGAAUAGCUCAGGGAAACUUGGAUUAAUACCGGAUACGGCCGAGAGGCGAAAGAUUUAUCGCCGGAGGAUUGGCCCGCGUUCGAUUAGCUAGUUGGUGAGGUAACGGCUCACCAAGGCGAUGAUCGAUAGCUGGUCUGAGAGGAUGAUCAGCCACAUUGGGACUGAGACACGGCCCAAACUCCUACGGGAGGCAGCAGUGGGAAUAUUGGACAAUGGGCGCAAGCCUGAUCCAGCCAUGCCGCGUGAGUGAUGACGGCCUUAGGGUUGUAAAGCUCUUUCGCUCGGAACGAUAAUGACGGUACCGAGAUAAGAAGCCCCGGCUAACUUCGUGCCAGCAGCCGC